GUCACGGCCGCGCCAGGUUAGCGCGCGGUGGCACCACUUGCCCUGCGUGUGGCUCUGAAAGAAGCGCUGGAGGUCUCCAGGAGUGAUUGCGGCCCUGGGACCCGAGCGAGGGUGUUGGCGACUCCCAGUGGACAGCUGAGACGGCCCGCACGUCUAGCUGCUCCGCGGUGGGGAAGCUUCCUUUCUGGGGAGGCUUCUUGAGGAGGGUUCGACCUGUCGGUCGCCAGCCAAUGGCACCUUGGACCAUGCCCGGGCUCGCCAAUCAGCUGGAGGCAAGGCUAGGGCGGGUCCCUGACUCUCCUUGAGUGUCUGUGCGUGAUGAUGUCAGAUGCCUUGAGAAGCGCGCUCUGACAACUACAGUUUUCUCACUGGAAUUCCUGUGGGUUGGUCUUGAUGGAAAUUAAGAAAAUUCAAGAGAUCAUUGCUAAUGGGUUAGUUUGGAAGCUUUACUCCUGCCUUCUCAACAUGUUAUUCCGGUCUGUUUCCAGUUAGAAGGUGCUGUAGAUUUGCAGCAGCAAUAAUUCCCAAGGCGUUUUGCAAUGUGGAGUAAUUGUCCAGCAAAGUUAAAUGAAGUAGAGGCCGAUUGGGGAACCAGCGUUUGGACUGAAUUAAUUUGACAGUUGUUAAACCAUCGUGUGACAGUCCAUUCUUAAUAAAUUCAGCGACUCAAGUUACUAUAAGAUAGGAAUUUUUCACUACAGAUUAUAUGUGAAGCUUUUGUAAAUUUGGUAGCACACGUCUUAAACCACAGCACUCAGGAGACAGAGGCAGGCGGAUCUUUGAGUUUGAGGCCAACCUGGUCUACAAAAUGAGUUCCAUGGCAGCUGGGGCUACACAGAGAAACCCUGUCUGGAAAAACGAAUUAAUUAUUACAUAUACAAUUGGGGAAAAGUUUAUGUCUCGAACAACC
rnacentral:lncRNA from 1 species